UACGUAGGUGGCAAGCGUUGUCCGGAAUUAUUGGGCGUAAAGCGCGCGCAGCCGGUCCUUUACGCCUGAUGUGAACGCCCACGGCUCACCCGCGGAGGGUCAUUGGAAACUGGAGGACUUGAGUACAGAAGAGGAAAGUGGAAUUCCACGUGUAGCGGUGAAAUGCGUAGAGAUGUGGAGGAACACCAGUGGCGAAGGCGGCUUUCGGGUCUGUAACUGACGCUGAGGCGCGAAAGCGUGGGGAGCAAACAGG
rnacentral:misc_RNA from 1 species